rnacentral:piRNA from 1 species
UGUACCUUAUGUGAGGAAGUCCUGCUCAAUC